UCAUUGUAGCAUACAAGGCAUACGGCUCAGUAACGCGUAGUCAACCUAACCUAUGGACGGGAAUAACCUCGGGAAACUGAGAAUAAUGCCCGAUAGAACACUAUACCUGGAAUGGUUUGUGUUCCAAAUGAUUUAUCGCCAUAGGAUGGGACUGCGGCCUAUCAGUUUGUUGGUGAGGUAAUGGCCCACCAAGGCUAUUACAGGUACGGGCUCUGAGAGGAGUAGCCCGGAGAUGGGUACUGAGACACGGACCCAGGCCCUAUGGGGCGCAGCAGGCGAGAAAACUUUGCAAUGUGCGAAAGCACGACAAGGUUAAUCCGAGUGAUUUGUGCUAAACGAAUCUUUUGUUAGUCCUAGAAACACUAACGAAUAAGGGGUGGGCAAGUUCUGGUGUCAGCCGCCGCGGUAAAACCAGCACCUCAAGUGGUCAGGAUGAUUAUUGGGCCUAAAGCAUCCGUAGCCGGCUCUGUAAGUUUUCGGUUAAAUCUGUACGCUUAACGUACAGGCUGCCGGGAAUACUGCAGAGCUAGGGAGUGGGAGAGGUAGACGGUACUCGGUAGGAAGUGGUAAAAUGCUUUGAUCUAUCGAUGACCACCUGUGGCGAAAGCGGUCUACCAGAACACGUCCGACGGUGAGGGAUGAAAGCUGGGGGAGCAACCGGAUUAGAUACCCUGGUAGUCCCAGCUGUAACUAUGCAACUCAUGAUGCAUGGCUGUGUCAAUGCAAGUGAC
rnacentral:rRNA from 1 species